UGGGGAAUCUUGCACAAUGGGCGAAAGCCUGAUGCAGCGACGCCGCGUGCGGGAUGAAGGCCUUCGGGUUGUAAACCGCUUUCAGCAGGGACGAGGCGAAAGUGACGGUACCUGCAGAAGAAGCCCCGGCUAACUACGUGCCAGCAGCCGCGGUAAUACGUAGGGGGCAAGCGUUAUCCGGAUUCAUUGGGCGUAAAGCGCUCGUAGGCGGUCUGUUAGGUCGGGAGUUAAAUCCGGGGGCUCAACCCCCGUUCGCUCCCGAUACCGGCAGACUUGAGUUUGGUAGGGGAAGGUGGAAUUCCUAGUGUAGCGGUGGAAUGCGCAGAUAUUAGGAAGAACACCAGUGGCGAAGGCGGCCUUCUGGGCCAUAACUGACGCUGAGGAGCGAAAGCUAGGGGAGCAAACAGGAUUAGAUACCCUGGUAGUCCUAGCCGUAAACGAUGGACACUAGGUGUGGGGGAAUAUUUCUUCCGUGCCGCGGCUAACGCAUUAAGUGUCCCGCCUGGGGAGUACGGCCGCAAGGCUA
rnacentral:rRNA from 1 species